UCAUUACCACGGACCUUCCUGGCUUGCUAACUAAGUUUCUAUUUAAUUGGUUUUUACAACAUGACCUAGUUCCUGAGACUUCAGACUCUUGGAAGGCAGAAUGUGGCAGGAGUGUAAGAUCACCUGCACAGCGGCCAGAACAUCACAGCAAACACACAACACACAGAUAAAAAUUCAUUUAGUAACAUAUAAAGGAUAUCAAGUCAUGAAGGCACUACAUAAAUGAAGCAUUUCCCAAAACACUGAGCAGAGAAUUCCAGAAGGACUCUGAGAAAACACAUGGCCUCUGCAGUCAGCAGCAGAUCCAAGGCCUCUUCUGUGGAGUCUGUUCCCUCUUCCCACCCACACAUCUCUGGAUACUUCUGCCAGCCAUAGAUUUUCCUUCUGUGUUUACCUCGUUUGAGGCUCAGGUGAAAAACCAGAUGACUUACAAAGGAAUCAGAUAUCGCCAUUGGCCUUUUCUCACAAGCCAAAACAUCAUGCCACUCGAUCUGUUUUUGUUUGCUUUUUAACAUGAAAAAAAUGCAGGCUGUGUAGAAUGGAAAAUUUGUGAGAAAUUCUAUUGAAAGAGAAAUUCAUUGAACUUGGUGGACAUCGACAAAAAAGUUUAGUCAUACUUAUUUUCUAAAUAAUAAACUAUACUUUGGUUGGGUAAGUUUGGAAAAUGUAAAGCAUGAAUAAAUGACACACAUUCCUUAAUCCUAAUUCUCAUAUAUGCUGUUUACAUUUUAUUGUAUAAUGCCUAUACACAAUAAACAAAAUCCAGGCUGUA
rnacentral:lncRNA from 1 species